UACCAGCACCCCGAGUGGUCGGGACGUUUUAUUGGGCCUAAAGCAUCCGUAGCCGGUUCUGCAAGUCUUCCGUUAAAUCCACCUGCUUAACAGAUGGGCCGCGGAAGAUACUAUAGAGCUAGGAGGCGGGAGAGGCAAGCGGUACUCGAUGGGUAGGGGUAAAAUCCGUUGAUCCAUUGAAGACCACCAGUGGCGAAGGCGGCUUGCCAGAACGCGCUCGACGGUGAGGGAUGAAAGCUGGGGGAGCAAACCGG
rnacentral:rRNA from 1 species